rnacentral:rRNA from 1 species
ACCGGCGCACGGGUGAGUAACGCGUAUCCAACCUGCCCACCACUUGGGGAUAACCUUGCGAAAGUAAGACUAAUACCCAAUGGUGAUGGAUGGGGAUGCGUCUGAUUAGCUUGUUGGCGGGGUAACGGCCCACCAAGGCGACGAUCAGUAGGGGUUCUGAGAGGAAGGUCCCCCACAUUGGAACUGAGACACGGUCCAAACUCCUACGGGAGGCAGCAGUGAGGAAUAUUGGGCAAUGGGCGAAAGCCUGACCCAGCGACGCCGCGUGAAGGAAGAAGGCCUCGGGUUGUAAACUUCAGUCAACAGGGAAGCGGUACCUGUGGAGGAAGCCACGGCUAACUACGUGCCAGCAGCCGCGGUAAUACGUAGGUGGCAAGCGUUAUCCGGAUUUACUGGGUGUAAAGGGUGUGUAGGCGGGUCUGCAAGUCAGAUGUGAAAACUAUGGGCUCAACUCAUAGCUUGCAUUUGAAACUGCGGAUCUUGAGUGUCGGAGAGGUAAAUGGAAUUCCCGGUGUAGAGGUGAAAUUCGUAGAUAUCGGGAGGAACAC